rnacentral:lncRNA from 1 species
UGGUCUGAUUAGUUUCAAGGGUGGUCACACAAUUUCCUAUGUUGUCUAAUUUAGUGUUCAAAGCAGCCAAUUAUUGUAAAAUCUGAUCCAUUGCAAUGGAGUCAAAAGACAUUGGUACAUGAUGAUAAAUUUUACCCCUCCUAAGGAUCAUGCAAUAACAUGAGAAAAGAGGAUCAACCAAGAUAGCUCCUAACUAUUCCAAGAUCACCUUUAGAAACUUCAAGUUUAAAAUCAAUCGACCAUAUUGGCC